rnacentral:rRNA from 1 species
UACGUAGGGAGCAAGCGUUGUCCGGAAUCAUUGGGCGUAAAGCGCGCGUAGGCGGUUCCGUAAGUCAGAUGUGAAAACUCAGGGCUCAACCCGGAGACGCCAUCUGAUACUGCGGUGACUGGAGUCUGGUAGGGGAACACGGAAUUCCUGGUGUAGCGGUGAAAUGCGCAGAUAUCGGGAAGAACACCCGUGGCGAAGGCGGUUCUCUGGGACGGUACUGACGCUGAGACGCGAAAGCGUGGGGAGCGAACAGG